rnacentral:misc_RNA from 1 species
GAUGAGAACGUAGUGAAAUGCGAUAAGUAGUGUGAAUUGCAGAAUUCAGUGAAUCAUCGAAUCUUUGAACGCACAUUGCGCCCCUUGGUAUCCCGAGGGGCAUGCCUGUUCGAGCGUCAUUUCACCACUCAAGCCUGGCUUGGUGUUGGGCGACGUCCUCUUUGGGGACGCGCCUCGAAACGCUCGGCGGCGUGGCACCGGCUUUAAGCGUAGCAGAAUCUUUCGCUUUGGAAGUCGGGGCCCCGUCUGCCGGAAGACCUGCUCGCAAGGUUGACCUCGGAUCAGGCAGGGAUACCCGCUGAACUUAAGCAUAUCAAUAAGCGGAGGA